GGGCAGGUACCCAAGCGGCCAAAGGGGACUGACUGUAAAUCAGUUGGCUCAGCCUUCGGUGGUUCGAAUCCGCCCCUGCCCA
rnacentral:tRNA from 2 species